ACGCCAGGUGGUUUGCAUGUAACAAAUAAGUGUUUAUUUCACGACAGAUCUCAAAUAGUAUGAAGAAAGCAAGGAGAAAAGUGAAGGCAUUGGUAAGUUUUGAUAUAUGAAAAAUAAGGAGAUAACUUAGGUUCGGUUUUACCAUAUAUAUAUUGGGUUCGCUUGAUGCUGAGUCCAUUUGUUGACUUCAGUUGCAAAAUGAGUUUUUACCAAAACUGACAAAAAGGAAAUUGUAGUUAAGUUGGGUCACUGUCCAUGAUUAUAGACUUGUAAUGUCCUCUGUUUGGUGCUGGUACACUAUGGUACUACGCCGUGCUCUUUCAUGAAUCAAAACUGUAAUCGAUAAUCUUACCAUCUCACCAAGAAAUUGCACCGUGCAAACAUAUUGACCAGACAGAUUUAUCCAACAUUUUAACUCAUGAUCGUGUAAUAUUUGGCAAUUGAAAUUCCUUACCAUACUAGCAUGUGCAUUCAAAAUUAAUUGCAAAUUAGGUUGUGUUCCAUAGGUUAUGUUCAUAGCUAAAAAUGAUAUCUAUUUAGAGAUUGGGUGAGUAAUUUUUUUUUGGAUCAGUAGGGUUUUGUGCCCCAACACCGGAAAGAAGAAAUAUGUGGUGUACUACGAAAACAAGCACAUGUGGAUCAUUAUAAUUCCCUGACUAAUAAUGUUAUGAUGGAGACAUCUUACCUAAUAAAGGCACUUAAUUAAUUGUGUGUACGUCAGAUAUGCAUUAGAACAGUUAUAGAUGCGAGCUCUGUACUCAUUGCGUGUACAUUUGGAUCGAUGCAACUUUGUGUUGUAGAAAAUUGCAUGCUUAAUUACGUGUUCCUACAAUUGUACACAUUCUCCU
rnacentral:lncRNA from 1 species